UUGCUUUGUCCAGAAUAGCGAGAGAGAGUCGCCAGGGGCUGGGUGGGGCUCUGGCCCUGGACUCCCCGAACGCCCCUUUCCUCACAUACACUCGGGCUAUUUAUCGUGCGGAGGCUGUUUCCGGCGGACCGCGCUACGUGUGACACCGCAUCCAGUCCCCACUGCGCGGGCUUUUUAUGCUUCCGCGUUUGCGGUUUCUCAGUUGGUUCUGCCCAGCAGCGGUGGCCCUUCCCAGAGUCCCGAAAUGCCGUAGAGUUAAACGAUCACUGAAACUGGAUGAUCAGUUUGAAGAAAAUUCAUUUAGUCCUUCAAAAACCAGAAGGAAGAAAAGUAUGACAGCUUAUUCUCCAACAACUGGAACUUAUCAAAUGAGCCCAUUUUCUUCUCCCUCAACCCCCAAAGAACAUGAGCGCGGAAAAGGACCAUCAAAUGGAAAGAAAAAACUGAAUAACCUCAGCUCACCUACAAGCAAGGAGUCCACAGCCAAAGACAGUGAUGAAUUCAUGGUGUUGCUAUCUAAAAUUGAGAGAUCAUCAGAAAAAACCAUGGAGAUAAUGAAAAAAUUAAGUAGUAUACAGGCUUUGGCGAACAACAGACAACUUGAAGAUCUUAUUGGCAUUUCCCUAGUACCAUGUUUCUUAAAAAGAGAAGUGGAGAAAACCAGAGAAUUAAUGACAGAAGUCACAAAGCAAAGGCUGCUUGAGAAGAAGAGUUCACGAAAUCCUCCCAGAGACUCUGGCCCUAACCAGCUUUGCACCUUGCUAAACAUGGAGUGGAUCCCAUCCAGUUCUUCCCCGCACAGCUUUGCACAUCUGUUCCCUUCGCUCAGCACCACUUGCAGCUGCUGCUGCAGCAAGAAUGACACUCAGGAUUAAGUGAACAGGCACCUGACACGUACGUACGUACGUACCGUGAAGGCUUCAGGUAACUAAGAGAUGUAAAACAUCCCCGGUAAUGUGAAGAGGUCACUGAACUUUUCCGAAGAACGAGACCUUAUGAAUCGGAAUGCCUUCUUAGACUGUGUGAGUAGCAGGCGUUCCUCUGCUUACCCAGGCUCUUGAACAAAGGACAGCUUCUUUGGCUCACUUAGGAUAUAAGACUAACUUCACUUUCCUUAAUAAUAUUGGCUUUAUGACUAUUAGGAAAACGAUGAAAUGAAAGGUUUCUUUUCUGUUAGAUUUGGAUGUGGAUUUUCAUAAUUAUUUUAAAUUUGUUACGCAUAAGAUUUAAGACAUCUGACUAUUCAGUGGGCUGAGACGGAUGGAAUGUCACACUGUCAUCACAUGGUAAGGCAUGAAAUGUAUUUGCUUUACACAAUCAACCUCUACUAAAAACAACCUCACACAGAUAUCCCUUAGUCAAUAGAUGGCAUUCUGUAGCACUUGGCAUUUUCAUUUUUUCUAGAGAUAUUAAAAAAUGCCCUCAUUGUUUGUCUGUGUCUAGGAAUUCCAGUAAACAAAAUGUUUUUGAAAAGAAUGUAAGCAAAUUGUAGAGCAGUUGCCAAGAUAAGAAAUCAAGACACUCAGUUUCAGUCCAAAACAUAUUUUAUGUUUUGAGAAUAACUGUGUAGGUUGCUGAAUGCAUAUUUCAAAUGCAGUAUAACCAUCUGAACUUUACAGUGUUCAAAAAAGUUGAUUGUUUCAGCUAUUUGUAACAGAAACUAUUUCAGAACUUCUAGCUCUGGUCUUUUGAAAGAAGCACAGACUGUUUUCUUUAGUUAACAUCCAUUGUAAAAUUCAUCUUGGUUCUAGGAUUCUGAAGUUACCAAAGUCUUUAAGCUCUAUGACAAGUUGCAGCCCCUUUUGUACUGACACCAUAAAAUAGUUUGAUGUGGCACUGCCUUUUCGUUCUGGCCACCACUGAGGUAUUUUUAACAAAAAUAUGUUUUGCUUCUCUCAACUCAGUCCUGAAAAAGUCUUCAUCAAAUUGGCUAAAUCCUUUUUCUUCCUGAAGACUACUAUCCUUUUGGCUUUUCAUCUUGGAAAUAUCUUUGGGGGGGGAGGCAGAGACUUCAGUUUUAAAAGCACUCAUUUGAGUUUAAAGAUUCCCUUAAACAUUUCCCCAUGUGCUGUCCUAGAUUUAUGUGGAGAUAGCUGCUAAUUUUGUACCACAAAUUCACAUUAAUGGACAUGGCAGCCCUCAGCUCUUAAUACGGACUUGCCGUUGUGCAUGCGGCAUGGGUCCCGCCUCUACUGUGGAUGAUAGUAAUGUGCUUCUCUUCUGCCGAUCAUCACUGCUGGGGAAAUACUACCAACUGCUGGAAAUGCUUACUUGAGAUCUGCCUUGGAGUUAAGGAAAACCAAACAGAACAUCAUCUUGACAGCUUUGAAUUCUUAAAAGCCAUUUUGAACUGAGUGUUACCUUCACGUCUGACUACUGUGUCAGUCUACAUGGGUACCAGUCAACCUGUAAGAAUGCAGACCAGACCGAAAUGAAGAGUCAGUGAAAGUAGACCGUUAAGUUUACAACCCAUCUAAGACAAGAAAUGGAGUAUUUGUGGAUUGUUCUAAAUAAGAAAAAAUAAACGAGUCCAUUGUGCACUGCCUUCUUAUGUAAAAA